rnacentral:rRNA from 1 species
GCGGCCACUGCUAUCAAGUUCCGACUAAGCCAUGCGAGUCAAGGUAUCGUAAGAUGCCGGCAAACUGCUCAGUAACACGUGGAUAAUCUAACCUUGAGUAAGGGAUAACUUCGGGAAACUGAGGGUAAUACCUUAUAAUUGCUUAAAACUGGAAUGUUUUUGCAAUAAAAGUUACGACGCUCAAGGAUGAGUCUGCGACCUAUCAGGUAGUAGGUGGUGUAAUGGACCACCUAGCCUCAGACGGGUACGGGCCCUGGGAGGGGUAGCCCGGAGAUGGACUCUGAGACAUAAGUCCAGGCCCUACGGGGCGCAGCAGGCACGAACACUGUGCAAUGCGCGAAAGCGCGACACGGGGAGCUUGAGUGUCUUGGCAUAGCCAAGACUUUUCUCAUUCCUAAAAAGCAUGAGGAAUAAGUGCUGGGUAAGACGGGUGCCAGCCGCCGCGGUAACACCCGCAGCACGAGUAGUGGUCACUUUUAUUGAGCCUAAAGCGUUCGUAGCCGGUUUUGUAAAUCUUCAGAUAAAGCCUGAAGCUUAACUCCAGAAAGUCUGAAGAGACUGCAAGACUUGAGAUCGGGUGAGGUUAAACGUACUUUCAGGGUAGGGGUAAAAUCCUGUAAUCCCGGAAGGACGACCAGUGGCGAAAGCGUUUAACUAGAACGAAUCUGACGGUAAGGAACGAAGGCUAGGGUAGCAAACCGGAUUAGAUACCCGGGUAGUCCUAGCUGUAAACAUUGCCCAUUUGAUGUUGCUUUUCCGUUGAGGGAAGGCAGUGUCGGAGCGAAGGUGUUAAAUGGGCCGCUUGGGAAGUAUGGUCGCAAGACUGAAACUUAA